CGGCACGUCUGGUAGCAUCUCUGGCUGCUGUUGAUCUUGUUUUUGGAGUAAAACACGGUGGAAGCUGAAUUAGUGAGGAUGACUCCUGCUCCUGUCAUCUCUAAGCUCCUCACAUCUUUACCUGCACAUGAGGAAAAUCACUCCUGUAGAAUGCAGAUGUUCAGAGGGAGAUGAUGCCACAUCUGGUCCAGCCGAUGGAAGGUCUUGAAGUUCUCUGACUGGCCUCAACUGAAGAUGGUCGUCUCACUGGAUUUAAGGUUCAGAUGCUCAGUAACAAACUCCACCAAUGAGCCAACAGGGAAGCUUUAGGUUUAUUAAAUGUUGCUAUGAAGGUUUCGCUGUUUUUCUUUGUGAAUGCAAUGUGCUCCAACUGAAACUUGAAUUAGAACUUAGAAGUAAAUCCUUCCAUCUGAAAGGAUGUAGUUGCAUUAAUAACCUCAUAACAUUCUAAUUUUUAUUCCAGUCUUGGUUGGAAAUGGAAUCUCUGUAUUGAUUCAGGUAAAAACUGAACUUCACAGCAUGUUGAAGCAAAACAACCAGAUGAAAACUGUGAUGGUGUUGGAUUGUCAGACCGUAAUGUUGCAGCUCAAAGCAGCUUUUCUAGCUCAGUUCAUUCUGACAUUCAGCUAUGAAUCAACACAGCAGAUGGUGAUCCAUGCUGUGGAAGUCUCACAUCUCCUGAUUUAAUGGAGCUGCUUUGCACUUUUUACACUGUUUAUUCACCAACACUUUAUUUAAUAAAAGUCCCAUCUAGUUUUUAUGAGGAAUGUGAUGUUUUAAUUUCUCUGUGAAUAACUGCAGUCUAAUGCAACAUCUGGAAUUGUAACAUCUGUCCUGAUAUUGAUCAUGAAGUAUUGAUCAGAAUACUUAUGGUCAGCAGUCAUCCCUGAAGUUUUACAUUAAAAUCUUUACUUGUGUUGUGAACUUUGGUAAGAAGCAGAAACGUUAGCGUUACCAUGGAUAUAAGAGUGUUAAAUUCUGUCCAUGUUUCCAUUUUGGGAAAUUCAGUCCAGUUCCAGAAUGUGGAGGAAUUUAGUCUCACAAUCACAGACAACAAAUAUUAUCUGAAAGUCGGGUUAUUGUUGUUUAUCAGCACAAUACAAAAAGAUUAAUGUUAGAAAUAUUCCAGUUAAGAAUAUCAUGAUUUAUGUAAAUUUACCUCAAUUAUAUAAAUGUUCAGGUUAAGAUUGUACAGUGAUAUUUAUUAUGUAAGUUUAGCUAAUUAACGUUUAUGACUCUGCACUAAAAUAUUAUUUAAAUUGACAUCAUUAUUAUAAUAUUUAGGGUCAGACCCUACAGUAUUGAGAUUAAGAAAUCAAAUAUUCUAUAAAAUGUAAAUACACUGAACUCAUUUGGAUAUAUUUAAGUGAGACUCUACAAUAUUAUUUAUGACACAAAUCUAUCUAAAUCAAAAUUUUAAUAAUUUUCACGCCAAACAUUUACUGGACUGAUUUAAACAUUAAAAUCACUCCUUUCUAAUCCUCUGCUGUACGUUCAAACCUGAGGCCUGAAAUAGAAACACACAAGUAUCUGAUUGAAGGAACUUCUGCAGAGUCCUGGUUCCAGAACAUGAUGAUAGAAUUAUAGACAAACUUUAACAAAAGCUGCCUGAGAGUUUACAGGUUUUUAUGUUGGAUUUCUUCAGUAAUUUAAUGAGAGUUAUCAGCAAUAAUCAAGUGUUCAUUUGAUGAACUUCAUUUCCUAAAACAUCCAGAAUUGAAGCUCAUAUCUCUGGCAGCUGUAAAGUUUCUGCUCCUUCAAAGAUCACAACACAAUGAAUGAAUUCCUAAAACACUCUCAAUGCUGGAGAGCGUUUGUGAUGCUGAAGCAGUGACCAGUUUUUCUGUUUCUUCUCUGGAGAUGCACAAUGAGGGACGUCUGCAGAGACUGAGAAAGAGUCUCACCACAUCCUGACAUGAGGAAAAAGACUUUAUUGAAGACUACAAUGAGAAAAACUAUCAGACAGCAGACGGCUGCAUUCAAGGUGAGCUCUGAACAUUUGAUCUGGAACAGGAAUUCAGUAACGGCAGCAUGAGCUUCAUUUCAGUCUGUAGCUGCUGAAUUCAUGAAUGAAUCAUCUGGCACUAGAGAGGAAGACCAUCAAACAUCCAUGUCAGCUGAUGGAGAUCAAAGAGUCUCACCAAGCAAACAACCUACAGAGUGAAGACCUCGAAUCUGAUUGGACGGCCUCCUAUUCAGCCACAUGUGUGAACAAAUGCCUCUAAGUUGAUUUGUUUUCUAAAAUAAAUCUAGUUUGAG
ensembl:lncRNA